UCUCCGUAGGUGAACCUGCGGAGGGAUCAUUACAAGCGACCCCGGUCUUACCACCGGGAUGUUCAUAACCCUUUGUUGUCCGACUCUGUUGCCUCCGGGGCGACCCUGCCUUCGGGCGGGGGCUCCGGGUGGACACUUCAAACUCUUGCGUAACUUUGCAGUCUGAGUAAACUUAAUUAAUAAAUUAAAACUUUUAACAACGGAUCUCUUGGUUCUG
rnacentral:misc_RNA from 1 species